GAUUACUUUAUCGUGCAAAUCAUACUGGAUUGAAUCUGUAUUAAUAUUCCAAAAGUGUCCUCGCCAAUAAAUCGAAUUACAGAGGAAAAAAAAAUUAUCUCCCCCAGAAUAAUUCUUGCCCUAGUCGUGGGUUUCCAACAUACUUUUUCCGUCGAAGAACAAGGUAUAAAUUUGAUUUUUUCCCCAAUACUUCUUCCCUCUCCCCAUUAAUGAAGUGCUCUUAUUUUCUGGUUGUUGUAAAGCGUCGUAAUUGAAGAGGUGGGCGCAGUUCAGUCGGUCGUUGAAUAAUUUGGCAAUUUGGGUUUAGGGAUGAGUUGGAGAGAGAAGGAUUGAGAAUAACAGAUGGAGGGGUGUAUUGAAAUAUGGGAAAGAGCAGCACGAGGAAG
rnacentral:lncRNA from 1 species